UUCACCCUUCAAAACUCAUGCUGAAAAUUAAUCCUCAAUGUGCCACUACUGAAAGGUAGCUUUUAAGAAGUAAUUGAGUCAAGAGUUCUCUGCUUUCAUAAGUGGAUUAAACUAUUCAUGAAUUAAUGGAUUAAUGAAUUAAUGGGCUAUCAUGGGAGUGGCAUUAGUGGUUUUAUAAGAAGAGAAAAAGAGACCUGGGCAGGUACACUCAGCCCUCUCACCACGUGAUGCCCUGUGCCACCUCAGAAUUCCCAAGUCCCCACCAACAAGAAAACACUCACCAGAUGUAGCCCUUUGACAUUGAACUCAGCCUUUAUACUGUAGGGAAUAUAUUUCUCUUCUUUUAUAAAUCACCCAGUUUCAGGUGUUCUCUUGUAAGCAACAAAAAAUGGACUAAGACAGAAAAUUGGUGCUGAGGAGUAAGGUGUUGAUGACAACAAAUACCUAAAAAUGUGGAAACAACUUUAGAACUGGGUCAUGGGCAGAGACUGGAAGAAUUUAGAGGAGGAGGCUAGAAAAUGCCUAGGUUCUAAUGAGGACUUAGAAGACGAGAAGACUAGGAAAAGUUUGGAAAUCCUUAGAGAUUGGUGAAGUGGUCAUAAGCAGAAAACUGAUAACAACAUAGACAGUAAACGCUAUUCUCAUGAGGUUUCAAAUGGAGCUGAGGAAUAAGUCAUUGUAAACUAGAGUAAAAGCCAGCCUUGUUAUAAACUGGCAAAGAAUUUGUCUGAACUGUGCCACCGCCCAGGGGUUUUAUGGAAGGCCAAACUUUUGAAGGAUAAAGUAGGAUAUCUGGCAGAAGAAAUUUCUAAGCAAAAUAUAAAAGAAGAUGCAUGGUUACUUUUGGCCACUCACACUAAGAUUCUAAAGCAAAUAAAUAAUUUAAAGCCAGAAUUUAUAAUUAAAAGGAAAGCAGAACAGAAAGAUUUAGGAAACUCUCAACCUGGUCACAUAAAACAUGAAAAAGUAUGUUCUGGAGAGGAAAUGAAGGUCAUAGCCGAAGGACUGUUUGCUAAUGAGAUUAACAUGGAUAGAAGGGAAUGAAACAAAGAUGCUGAAAGCAUUUCAGAUAUCUUUAAGGUUUCCCCUUCAAUCCCAGGCCCAGAGGCCUAGGAAGGCAGAAUGAUUCCAAGGGACAGACCUCAGCUGCUCUUCCUGGGCUUGAAGCUGAGGGCCAUCUUAGGACUCUACCCUCCACACCUCAGCACAGUGCUCCCUGGCUACCCCAGCUGUGGCUGAUGCAGCUCCAGGUGGGGCUCAUGCCACAGUUCCAGAAGGUAAAGUCAUAAGCCUUGACAGUGUCCAUGUGGUGCGGAUUUUGCUGCCUAGCAGGAAGCAAGAAAGCUGGAGGUUUGGCAGCCUCCACAUACAUUUCAAAGGAUGUCUUCAAAAGCCUGUGGUCCCAGUCAGAAGCUUGUAGCUGAGCAGGGCCACUGCAGCAGGCCCCCAGUAAAGCAAUGCUGAGUAGAAACAUGGGGUUGAAGCUACUGCGGCGCAUCCUCACAGGGCAAUUCCUACUGGAGCCAUGGGAACAGGACUACAGAACUGUGGAGUCACCAGCAGCAUGCAACACCCACCCAGGAAAGUUUCAGGCCCCAUGCUCCAACCCAUGUUGGUAGUCAUAUGAGCUGCACCCAGCAGAACCACAGGAGCAGGGCUUCCUGAGGCUUUGAACCCCUGUCCCAGUGUGUUCUAGAAAGUUUGACAUGGAAUCAAAAGAGAUUGUUCUCCACCUUUAAGGCUAAAUGUUUGCCCUGCUGGGUUUUGGACUUGCUUGGAGCUUUUUACUCUUAUUUUGAUUCUCUCUCCCUUUUGGAAUGGGAAUGUCUGUCCUAUACCUGUAACACCAUUUUAUCUUGAAAGUGGAUAACUUGCCUCAAUUUCGGAGGUUUACAAGUAAGACUCUGGAAUUUGGACUUUUGAGCUGAUGCUGAUGCUGAAAUGAGUUUUUGGGGCUAUGAGGAUGGAAAAAAACGUAUAUGUAUUUAAAGUUGUGAGAAAGACAUAAGUUUUGGAGAUCCAAGGGCAGAACACUAUGACGUGAAAGUUUGUUCCCUCUGAAAUUCAUGUUGCAUGAACUUUGUCCCCAGUGUGGCAGUAUCGAGAGGUAAGGCCUUCAAGAGGUAAUUGGAUCACGGCCCUCAGGAGGGAAUUUAUCAAUUAAUGGAUUAAUGGAUUAAUGAAUUGUCAUGGGAGAGAUAUUAGUGGUUUCAAAAGCAGAGAAAGAGAGACCUGAGCUAGCACACUCCUCCCCUUCACCAUGCGAUGCCCUUCACUACCUUGCGACUCUACAGCGAGUCACCACCAGCAAUGAGACGCUCAUCAGAUAUGGAUCCUCAACCUUGAAAUGCUCAUCUCCAUACUGCUUUGAAAUAAUCAUUAAAACUAUACAUUUAACAAGAUCGGAGUCAUAUGGUGCGCAUCUGCCAGCACAGGUAUGUACGUUCUAAAUCUGGUAAUUAAUUUCUUCCUUCAUAUACAAUGUGUUAGGUCCUAAAUUAGAUCCUAUACUACAUAAUAUUUCAAAUUAUGAACAGACUGGUAAAUUUAAUAAGAGAGAUAUAUA
rnacentral:lncRNA from 1 species